UACGUAGGGCGCAAGCGUUAUCCGGAAUUAUUGGGCGUAAAGAGCUCGUAGGCGGUUUGUCGCGUCUGCCGUGAAAGUCCGGGGCUCAACUCCGGAUCUGCGGUGGGUACGGGCAGACUAGAGUGAUGUAGGGGAGACUGGAAUUCCUGGUGUAGCGGUGAAAUGCGCAGAUAUCAGGAGGAACACCAGUGGCGAAGGCGGUGCUCUGGGCCGAUACUGACGCUGAGGAGCGAAAGCGUGGGGAGCGAACAGG
rnacentral:rRNA from 1 species